rnacentral:rRNA from 1 species
UACGUAGGGUGCAAGCGUUGUCCGGAAUUAUUGGGCGUAAAGAGCUCGUAGGCGGUCUGUCGCGUCGGCUGUGAACACCCGCGGCUCAACCUCGGGCCUGCAGUCGAUACGGGCAGACUAGAGUGCGGUAGGGGAGACUGGAAUUCCUGGUGUAGCGGUGAAAUGCGCAGAUAUCAGGAGGAACACCGGUGGCGAAGGCGGGGCUCUGGGCCGUAACUGACGCUGAGGAGCGAAAGCGUGGGGAGCGAACAGG